GGAAAUAGCUCAGUGGUAGAGUGCAUGCUUAGCAUGCAUGAGGUCCUGGUUCAAUUGCCAGUACCUCCA
rnacentral:tRNA from 1 species